rnacentral:rRNA from 1 species
UACGUAGGGGGGCAAGCGUUAUCCGGAAUCAUUGGGCGUAAAGCGCGUGUAGGCGGUUCCGUAAGUCCGCUCUGAAAGCCCAGGGCUCAACCCUGGGAGGCGGGUGGAUACUACGGAACUGGAGUACGGAAGAGGAGAUUGGAAUUCCUGGUGUAGCGGUGAAAUGCGCAGAUAUCAGGAGGAACACCAACAGCGAAGGCAGAUCUCUGGGACGUUACUGACGCUGAGACGCGAAAGCGUGGGGAGCAAACAGG